AAUGAACGCUGGCGGCGCGCCUAAUACAUGCAAGUCGAGCGAGAAGACGUAGCAAUACGUUUGUAAAGCGGCGAACGGGUGAGGAAUACAUGGGUAACCUACCCUCGAGUGGGGAAUAACUAGCCGAAAGGUUAGCUAAUACCGCGUACGCUUCUUGGACUUCGGUUCAGGGAGGAAAGCGAUGCCGAGGGUAUCGCGCUCUUGGAUGGGCUCAUGUCCUAUCAGCUUGUUGGGAGGUAACGGCUCACCAAGGCUUCGACGGGUAGCUGGUCUGAGAGGACGAUCAGCCACACUGGCACUGCGACACGGGCCAGACUCCUACGGGAGGCAGCAGUAAGGAAUAUUGCGCAAUGGGCGAAAGCCUGACGCAGCGACGCCGCGUGGGGGAUGAAGGUCUUCGGAUUGUAAA
rnacentral:rRNA from 1 species